GAAAUAUAGCUUUAUAGAAAGCAUUCCAUUUACACUGGGGGGCGUAGCUGUGCGAUUCAGCUUGUUUUGA
rnacentral:tRNA from 1 species